rnacentral:rRNA from 1 species
GGUUUCGAUCCUGGCUUCAGGAUGAACGCUGCGGCAUGCUUACACAUGUCAAGUCGAACGGGAGUGGUGUUCCAGUGGCGACGGGUGAGUAACGCGUAAGAACCUUCCCUUGGGAGGGGAACACAAAUGCACGGUUUGCUAAGACCCCGUAGUCUGAGGAGCAAAGGAACAUCGCCCAGGCGGGUCUUCUGCGCCUGAUUAGCUAGUUGGUGAGGGCAAUAGCUUACCAAUGCGAUGAUCAUAGCUGGUCAGAUAGGAUGCUCAGCCAACUGGGACUGAAGACACGGCCCAUACUCCUACGGGAGGCCAGCAGUGGGGAAUUUUCCGAAUGGGCGAAAGCCUGACGGAGGCUGCCGCGUGGAGGUUGAAGGCCUACGGGUCAGUCAACCUUCUAUUUCUCGGAGAGAACAAUACGGUCUCUGAGGAAUAAGCUCGGCUAACUCUGUGCAGCAGCCGCGUAAGCCAAGGAUGCAAUCGUUAUCCGGAAUUAUUGGGCGUAAAGCGUCUGUAUGUGGCUUUUUUUGCAGUCGCCGUCCAAUCCGGGCUCAACCCUGGACAGGCGGUGGAAAACUCCAAAGCUGGAGUACGGUAGGGGCAAGGGAAAUUUCCGGUGGAGCGUGAAAUGCAUUGAGAUCGGAAAGACACCAACGGCCGAAUCACUCUUGCUGAUCUCUGCUGGGCCGACCUGACACUGAGAGACGAAAGCUAGGGAGCAAAUGGGAUUAGAGACCCCAGUAUCCUAGCCGUAAACGAUGGAUACUAGGUGCUGUGGCACUCGACCCGUCGUUGCUUAGCUAACGCGUUAAGAAUUAUCCCGCCUGGGAGUACGUUCGCAAGAAUGAAACUCAAAGGAAUUGACGGGGCCCGCACAAGCGGUGGAGAAGUGGUUUAAAGUCGAUGCAAAGCGAAGAACCUUACCAUUGCUUGUACAUGCCGCGACCUCUUGAAAGAGAGGGGUUGCCCUCGGAACGCGGACACAUGUGGUGGCUGGUCUGUCGUCAGCUCGGUGCCGUAAGGUGUUGGGUUAAGUCUCGCAACGAGCGCAACCCUCGUGUUUUAGUUGCCACUAUGAUUUUGAACCCUGAACAGACCGCCGGUGUUAAGCCGGAGUAAGGAGAGGAUAGGCCAAGUCAUCAUGCCCCUUAUGCCUGGGCGACCCAACGUGCUCAUGGCGGACAAAGGGCGCGAUCUCGCAGGGCUGAGCUAACUCCAAAACCCUUCCUCAGUUUCGGAUUGCAUGCUGCAACUCGCCUGCAUGAAUCAGGAAUCGCUAUUAUCGCCUGGUCAUCCAUACGCGUGAAUCCGUUCCCGGGCCUUGUCCACACCGCCCGUCACACUAUAGAGGCUGGCGCAGGUUUGAGUCAUACCCCUUACCGUAAGGAGGGGAUUGCCUUAGGCUAGGCUUGCGACUGGAGUGAAGUCGUAACAAGGUUAGCCGUCUGAGGUGCGGCUG